AUUGAACGCUGGCGGCAUGCUUUACACAUGCAAGUCGAACGGCAGCGCGGGCUUUGGCCUGGCGGCGAGUGGCGAACGGGUGAGUAAUACAUCGGAACGUGCCCAGUAGUGGGGGAUUGCUCGGCGAAAGCCGGAUUAAUACCGCAUACGACCUGAGGGUGAAAGCGGGGGAUCUUCGGACCUCGCGCUAUUGGAGCGGCCGAUGGCAGAUUAGCUAGUUGGUGGGGUAAAGGCCUACCAAGGCGACGAUCUGUAGCUGGUCUGAGAGGACGACCAGCCACACUGGGACUGAGACACGGCCCAGACUCCUACGGGAGGCAGCAGUGGGGAAUUUUGGACAAUGGGCGAAAGCCUGAUCCAGCAAUGCCGCGUGUGUGAUGAAGGCCUUCGGGUUGUAAAGCACUUUUGGCGGGAACGAAAAGGACUGUGCCAAUACCACGGUUCGAUGACGGUACCCGCAGAAUAAGCACCGGCUAACUACGUG
rnacentral:rRNA from 1 species